rnacentral:rRNA from 1 species
UACGGAGGGUGCAAGCGUUAUCCGGAUUUAUUGGGUUUAAAGGGUCCGUAGGCGGACCAAUAAGUCAGUGGUGAAAUCUUUCGGCUCAACCGGAAAACUGCCAUUGAUACUGUUGGUCUUGAAUAUGUUUGAAGUGGGCGGAAUAUGGCAUGUAGCGGUGAAAUGCAUAGAUAUGCCAUAGAACACCGAUAGCGAAGGCAGCUCACUAAGCCAUAAUUGACGCUAAUGGACGAAAGCGUGGGGAGCGAACAGGAUUAGAUACCCCAGUA